rnacentral:rRNA from 1 species
UACGUAGGGGGCUAGCGUUGUCCGGAAUCAUUGGGCGUAAAGCGCGUGUAGGCGGCCCGGUAAGUCCGCUGUGAAAGUCGGGGGCUCAACCCUCGGAUGCCGGUGGAUACUGUCGGGCUUGAGUACGGAAGAGGCGAGUGGAAUUCCUGGUGUAGCGGUGAAAUGCGCAGAUAUCGGGAGGAACACCUAUGGCGAAGGCAGCUCGCUGGGACGUUACUGACGCUGAGACGCGAAAGCGUGGGGAGCAAACAGG